GACGAACGCUGGCGGCGUGCUUAACACAUGCAAGUCGAACGGAAAGGCCCUGCUUGCAGGGUGCUCGAGUGGCGAACGGGUGAGUAACACGUGGGUGAUCUGCCCCUUACUUUGGGAUAAGCCUGGGAAACUGGGUCUAAUACUGGAUAGGACCAUGCUGUAGGUGGUGUGGUGGAAAGAUUAGUUUCGGUAAGGGAUGAGCUCGCGGCCUAUCAGCUUGUUGGUGGGGUAAUGGCCUACCAAGGCGUCGACGGGUAGCCGGCCUGAGAGGGUGGACGGCCACAUUGGGACUGAGAUACGGCCCAGACCCCUACGGGAGGCAGCAGUGGGGAAUAUUGCACAAUGGGCGCAAGCCUGAUGCAGCGACGCCGCGGGGGGGAUGACGGCCUUCGGGUUGUAAACUCCUUUCAGCCAUGACGAAGCCCUUGUGGUGACGGUAGUGGUAGAAGAAGCACCGGCUAACUACGUG
rnacentral:rRNA from 1 species